GUGCUCAGUUCAGCAGCACAUAUACUAAAAUUGGAACAAUACAGAUAUUAGCAUGGCCCCUGUGCAAGGAUGACACACAAAUUCAUGAAGUGUUCCAGAUUCUU
ensembl:snRNA Gm24254 predicted gene, 24254